rnacentral:rRNA from 1 species
UACGUAGGUGGCGAGCGUUAUCCGGAAUUACUGGGCGUAAAGCGUGCGUAGGCGGCUUAGUGUGUGGGAAUUGAAAACCCGGGGCUCAACUCCGGAUCCGGUUCCCAAACUGCUAGACUCGAGCAUAUCAGAGGAGAGCGGAAUUCCCGGUGUAGCGGUAAUAUGCGUAGAUAUCGGGAGGAACACCAGUGGCGAAGGCGGCUCUUUGGGGUAUUGCUGACGCUGAGGCACGAAAGCCAGGGGAGCGAACGGG